rnacentral:tRNA from 1 species
GCUCCUGUAGCUCAGCAGCCAGGACACUGGUUUCAUACACCAGGGUUGGCAGGUUCGAACCUGGCCAGGGCCU